GGCGUUAAGUUGCAGGGUAUAGACCCGAAACCCGGUGAUCUAGCCAUGGGCAGGUUGAAGGUUGGGUAACACUAACUGGAGGACCGAACCGACUAAUGUUGAAAAAUUAGCGGAUGACCUGUGGCUGGGGGUGAAAGGCCAAUCAAACCGGGAGAUAGCUGGUUCUCCCCGAAAGCUAUUUAGGUAGCGCCUCGUGAACUCAUCUCCGGGGGUAGAGCACUGUUUCGGCUAGGGGGCCAUCCCGGCUUACCAACCCGAUGCAAACUGCGAAUACCGGAGAAUGUUAUCACGGGAGACACACGGCGGGUGCUAACGUCCGUCGUGAAGAGGGAAACAACCCAGACCGCCAGCUAAGGUCCCAAAGUCAUGGUUAAGUGGGAAACGAUGUGGGAAGGCCCAGACAGCCAGGAUGUUGGCUUAGAAGCAGCCAUCAUUUAAAGAAAGCGUAAUAGCUCACUGGUCGAGUCGGCCUGCGCGGAAGAUGUAACGGGGCUAAACCAUGCACCGAAGCUGCGGCAGCGACAUUUAGGUGUUGUUGGGUAGGGGAGCGUUCUGUAAGCCUGUGAAGGUGGCCUGUGAGGGUUGCUGGAGGUAUCAGAAGUGCGAAUGCUGACAUAAGUAACGAUAAAGCGGGUGAAAAGCCCGCUCGCCGGAAGACCAAGGGUUCCUGUCCAACGUUAAUCGGGGCAGGGUGAGUCGACCCCUAAGGCGAGGCCGAAAGGCGUAGUCGAUGGGAAACGGGUUAAUAUUCCCGUACUUGGUGUUACUGCGAAGGGGGGACGGAGAAGGCUAUGUUGGCCGGGCGACGGUUGUCCCGGUUUAAGCGUGUAGGUGUGUGUUCCAGGUAAAUCCGGUUCACUUUAACACUGAGGCGUGAUGACGAGGCACUACGGUGCUGAAGCAACAAAUGCCCUGCUUCCAGGAAAAGCCUCUAAGCAUCAGGUAACAUCAAAUCGUACCCCAAACCGACACAGGUGGUCAGGUAGAGAAUACCAAGGCGCUUGAGAGAACUCGGGUGAAGGAACUAGGCAAAAUGGUGCCGUAACUUCGGGAGAAGGCACGCUGACACGUAGGUGAAGUGAUUUACUCAUGGAGCUGAAGUCAGUCGAAGAUACCAGCUGGCUGCAACUGUUUAUUAAAAACACAGCACUGUGCAAACACGAAAGUGGACGUAUACGGUGUGACGCCUGCCCGGUGCCGGAAGGUUAAUUGAUGGGGUCAGCGCAAGCGAAGCUCCUGAUCGAAGCCCCGGUAAACGGCGGCCGUAACUAUAACGGUCCUAAGGUAGCGAAAUUCCUUGUCGGGUAAGUUCCGACCUGCACGAAUGGCGUAAUGAUGGCCAGGCUGUCUCCACCCGAGACUCAGUGAAAUUGAACUCGCUGUGAAGAUGCAGUGUACCCGCGGCAAGACGGAAAGACCCCGUGAACCUUUACUAUAGCUUGACACUGAACAUUGAGCCUUGAUGUGUAGGAUAGGUGGGAGGCUUUGAAGCGUGGACGCCAGUCUGC
rnacentral:rRNA from 1 species